GCCUUGCUGACGAGUGCCAACUAGCACGAAACCUAGGUCACUCAAGGC
rnacentral:hammerhead_ribozyme from 1 species